rnacentral:rRNA from 1 species
ACAUCGGAACGUGUUCCUAAGUGGGGAAUAACGCAUCGAAAGAUGUGCUAAUACCGCAUAUCUCUCAGGAGGAAAGCAGGGGAUCGAAAGACCUUGCGUCUAAAGGAGCGGCUGAUGUCUGAUUAGCUAGUUGGUGGGGUAAAGGCUUACCAAGGCAACGAUCAGUAGCUGGUCUGAGAGGACGACCAGCCACACUGGGACUGAGACACGGCCCAGACUCCUACGGGAGGCAGCAGUGGGGAAUUUUGGACAACGGGCGAAAGCCUGAUCCAGCCAUGCCGCGUGAGUGAAGAAGGCCUUCGGGUUGUAAAGCUCUUUUAUUCGGAAAGAAAGAGUCAUAGUAAAUAGCUAUGAUUUAUGACGGUACCGACAGAAAAAGCACCGGCUAACUAC